GCUUAACACAUGCAAGUCGAACGCCCCGCAAGGGGAGUGGCAGACGGGUGAGUAACGCGUGGGAACAUACCCCUCGGUUCGGAAUAGCUCAGGGAAACUUGGAUUAAUACCGAAUACGGUCGAGAGGCGAAAGAUUUAUCGCCGAGGGAUUGGCCCGCGUCCGAUUAGCUAGUUGGUGAGGUAAUGGCUCACCAAGGCGAACGAAUCGGUAGCCUGGUCUGAGAGGAUGAUCAGCCACAUUGGGACUGAGACACGGCCCAAACUCCUACGGGAGGCAGCAGUGGGGAAUAUUGGACAAUGGGCGCAAGCCUGAUCCAGCCAUGCCGCGUGAGUGAUGACGGCCUUAGGGUUGUAAAGCUCUUUCAUCAGGGACGAUAAUGACGGUACCUGAAGAAGAAGCCCCGGCUAACUUCGUGCCAGCAGCCGCGGUAAU
rnacentral:rRNA from 1 species